CACAUUUAAGUGGUGCCAGUCAAAAUUCGGGGCGGCUUCAGGACACGGGGCGGCUUCAGGACACGGUGAGCCGUGGUACGUCUGACAUGGAAGCAAAAUGUGCCGAUGCAGUGGAGGAUGUCAAGCGACAUGUUGGCCAUCUCGGCUGCGUGACGGUUGCCGUUCCUAUUGGGGACUCCGGAGGCCACCAUGACGACAACACGACACUCACCUUGUAGACGUCAUGCAGACCGAUGAUGGCGUCAAAGAGCGUGUAGAGGUCGUUCAGCAGGUCCACCACCUCGAUGGGUUCGCUGAGAGCCGAGAUGGUGGUGAAGCCCACGAUGUCGCUAAAGUAGAGUGUGACCUCGCUGAAGUGCUCAGGCUUGACCGGCUUGCCUGUCUUCAGCGCCUGGGCCACAGACCUGGGAGAAAACACAGGGAACAUCGCAAAGUGACUCCAACACGAGACUCCGAGCCACCUUCCUUAAUUUCCAAAGACGGUGCAAAGCUUAGCAACAUUUAUGCUUGGCAGGUUCUUCACUCCAGGCCUGCUUCAAGAUUUGGAUGACGUCCAGGGGAGCCUGAUCCACUGACACGGAGGGGCGGCACAAAGGAGGGGGGUUUGUGACCUUGCUGAUAAUCUCUGCCAAAACACACAGACAACACUGACAUAAACAAUAAGAUCAAGACGCACAUGCAGAUGGAAAGUUUUGCUGUUAUUUAUAUUACGGCGUUGUAGUGAUGAAUGCAAGGUUUCCGCCACAGUUAUAAUUUCCUUUCACUAACUGAUGCAAGACUAAAAAUAUACAGUGAUCCAUAAUGGGUUAAAUUCUUGAAAAUGAUCCAACACCAUGUUUUCUUCUCGAGGUAAUUAUGAAUAGCACACACAUGGCAAAAUAUCUGACAUCAUGGCCAUAUCACUCACCUUUGGGUGGCAUAUCCAGCAUACAAAAAGGAGCAGAGCGGGAAAUCACUUCCUGUCCAAUGAUGGAAAAACUGUAGACGUCUCCCAGAAACGUCCCCUUUCUCCGCAGAUCAGCAUUGCGUAGCAUCUCAGGAGCAGUCCAGAACAGAUCUUUUGGUUGAAGCCAAAGAAGUGAAGAUAAAACAAAGAUGCUGAAAGUUAUUAAUUAUAUCAAGAAAAGGAACAUGAGACCUGAUAUAAACUCACUCUCAGGCUUUUCCUCGUCCAUGCUGAUGCCUUGGCUAUUGAGAAGUUCAUUGAAGCCAUAAUCAGUCACCUUCAGCACAAAGCGCCCGUCCACUACACAGUUUCGGGAUUUGAGGCGUCCAUGGAUUAUUCCUCGAUUGUGCAGGUACUUCAUUCCCUGUUUAAAUGUGACGAGUGAGUCAACACUGUUGACAAAGAGCACUACAAGCAAACGUGUGUCUUUUGUUUUUCCUGUACCCUGAUGAGAUCCAUCAGCAGGGACGACUUGAACAUCCAAUCCAGACGUACAUCCUCAUUCAUGAGCAGGUUUUCCAAGCUACCUCGGGAGCAGUGUUCGGUCACCACUCCAAAAACACCAGAGUCGUUGAAGAGUCCCAGGAACAGAUUGAGAUUCUCGUGCCUCAUGUCUCUGAGCUGCAAGAGUUAGCCGCACAACGUGAAUGCAAGAUCCAGGCGGGCCUUUUUUCAACCAAACCCAAUCACCCUGAGAUUUACAGAAAACACACUUUUACGAUGCGAACAAAAACGCCAACUAAAACAACUCUCAAGUCCAACUCACCUCAAAUAUAGCAACAUUGGAG